GACGAACGCUGGCGGCGUGCUUAACACAUGCAAGUCGAACGAAGAGCGAUGGAAGCUUGCUUCUAUCAAUCUUAGUGGCGAACGGGUGAGUAACGCGUAAUCAACCUGCCCUUCAGGGGGGGACAACAGUUGGAAACGACUGCUAAUACCGCAUACGAUCUGACCUCGGCAUCGAGGAUAGAUGAAAGGUGGCCUCUAUUUAUAAGCUAUCACUGAAGGAGGGGAUUGCGUCUGAUUAGCUAGUUGGAGGGGUAACGGCCCACCAAGGCGAUGAUCAGUAGCCGGUCUGAGAGGAUGAACGGCCACAUUGGGACUGAGACACGGCCCAGGCUCCUACGGGAGGCAGCAGUGGGGAAUCUUCCGCGAUGGACGAGAGUCUGACGGAGCAACGCCGCGUGAGUGAUGACGGCCUUCGGGUUGUAAAGCUCUGUUAAUCGGGACGAGAGGCCUUCUUGCGAAUAGUUAGAAGGAUGACGGUACCG
rnacentral:rRNA from 1 species